UGAGCUUCCUUGCUGUAGACAU
rnacentral:miRNA from 2 species